CUGGACUCACAGGCCUCCCUUCCACUCACAGCUUUUUGAAGUAGCUCUGUGGACUUACACCAGAGAGAUGAAAAGCUGAAAUCCAGCUGCCGUUCAUUCCUGCUUUGAGAUUAGGAAAGGUAGAGCUGAAUUUGGGCUAUGUUACUCAGAAGCUUUUCCCCAGCUGAUGGAGGCCUGCCCUGGAGGUGCUCAGCUCCAUCUCUGCUGUCCAGGCUGUGAGCAAGAACACCUAAGGAAAGCCAGCAGCCUCCUUCACUCUCCCUCCCCAUCCAUUCAGGUACAGGCCACAAGUCUGCAGCAUCUCACUACAAAAUCAGCACAGAGGCAGUGAUCACACCACGAUGAAAAAAAAAAAAAUAGAUUAAAAAGAGAGGAAAAAAUCAGCUGCUAGAACAAAAGCCAAACAGAAAUGUGUUCCUUAAAUUAUUAGUAGUGUAUUAGAGGUGAUUUAGCACUCACAUGGCCAUUCCUACAACUGCAGAGACCCUGCAACAUAUCUUAUUCCCUUUGUAAUGCGGAUGGCACUGAGAUUGCUCUCAUCUUCUGGGCUUAUAAGCAAAUAUAUUUAAUUUGGAUGUAAUACAGCCAGGAGGGUGAUUUCUCCAGAUGGCGAUUUAAGCAACAGAUCAAGAGAUGAAUUAAGCACCUCAUUCCUUCAGAUUUUAGGAGAUCUGCAGGUGCCAGGGAUCCUGCCUCCAGCUUGGGUCCAGGGUAAAUUUCGGCCAAGAUGAAGCCUCUUAUUGGCUGCAUGAAUUCUAGCCUCCUUCAUUAACAUGCCUCCUGGUAAAAGAGCCAUUCAGGAUGCCUGGAGGAGCCCAGAUUUCAAAUCUGAUGAAGUCUGCAGUUCUAUAAAUUCCCUCCCUCUUUUGUGCUGAUGGCAACGACUUUUAUAUGUAUUUUCAUGUCUUUCUCUCCAGAGAUAAAUUUUGUGGCCUGCCACUGAAUCUGCUUCCUAAAAUGUA
rnacentral:lncRNA from 1 species